UACGUAGGCAGCGAGCGUUGUUCGGAAUUACUGGGCGUAAAGAGUGUGUAGGCGGUGCUCUAAGUUCGGUGUGAAAUCUCCUGGCUCAACUGGGAGGGUGCGCCGGAAACUGGAGUGCUUGAGCGUGGGAGAGGAAAGCGGAAUUCCUGGUGUAGCGGUGAAAUGCGUAGAUAUCAGGAGGAACACCGAUGGCGAAGGCAGGUCUCUGGGCAUUAACUGACGCUGGAGGAGCGGAAAGCAUGGGGAGCGAAC
rnacentral:rRNA from 1 species